rnacentral:rRNA from 1 species
GACGAACGCUGGCGGCGUGCCUAAUACAUGCAAGUGGGACGCAAGGAAACACACUGUGCUUGCACACCGUGUUUUCUUGAGUCGCGAACGGGUGAGUAACGCGUAGGUAACCUGCCUAUUAGCGGGGGAUAACUAUUGGAAACGAUAGCUAAUACCGCAUAAUAUUAAUUAUUGCAUGAUAAUUGAUUGAAAGAUGCAAGCGCAUCACUAGUAGAUGGACCUGCGUUGUAUUAGCUAGUUGGUAAGGUAAGAGCUUACCAAGGCGACGAUACAUAGCCGACCUGAGAGGGUGAUCGGCCACACUGGGACUGAGAAACGGCCCAGACUCCCACGGGAGGCCGCAGUAGGGAAUCUUCGGCAAUGGACGAAAGUCUGACCGAGCAACGCCGCGUGAGUGAAGAAGGUUUUCGGAUCGUAAAGCUCUGUUGUAAGUCAAGAACGUGUGUGAGAGUGGAAAGUUCACACAGUGACGGUAGCUUACCAGAAAGGGACGGCUAACUACGUG